GACGAACGCUGGCGGCGUGCUUAACACAUGCAAGUCGAACGAUGAAGAAGAGAAACGCGAACUUCGGUUCAAAUUUCACUUCGGAUUAGUGGCAGACGGGUGAGUAACGCGUGAGCAACCUACCUCUUACAAAGGGAUAGCCUCGGGAAACCGUGAUUAAUACCAUAUGACACAUUCAUAAGGCAUCUUAAGAAUGUUAAAGCUACGGCGGUAAGAGAUGGGCUCGCGUCCCAUUAGCUAGUUGGUGAGGUAACGGCCCACCAAGGCGACGAUGGGUAACGGGCCUGGAGGGGAGAACGGUAACAUUGGAACUGGAACACGGUCCAAACCCCUACGGGGGGGAGCAGGGGGGAAUAUUGCACAAUGGGGGGAACUCUAAUGCCGCGGCGCCGGGUAGGCGAUGAAGGAAUUCGUUUCGUAAAGCUCUUUUUAAGGGGAAGAAAAGGACUGAACCAAAGAAGAAAGCCCCGGCAAAAUACGU
rnacentral:rRNA from 1 species